rnacentral:rRNA from 1 species
CAGUAGCCACGGUAACACGUAGGGUGCAAGCGUUAAUCGGAAUUACUGGGCGUAAAGCGUGCGCAGGCGGUUAUAUAAGACAGAUGUGAAAUCCCCGGGCUCAACCUGGGAACUGCAUUUGUGACUGUAUAGCUAGAGUACGGCAGAGGGGGAUGGAAUUCCGCGUGUAGCAGUGAAAUGCGUAGAUAUGCGGAGGAACACCGAUGACGAAGGCAAUCCCCUGGGCCUGUACUGACGCUCAUGCACGAAAGCGUGGGGAGCAAACAGGAUUAGAGACCCCCGUAGUCCCUGUCUCUUAUAA